ensembl:snRNA U2 U2 spliceosomal RNA
GUCCCAAUUUGGCCUUUUGGCUAAGAUCAAGUUUAGUAUCUGUUCUUAUUAGUUUAAUAAUAAAAAGCUAUUUUGUUGUUCUUUAACAUCUCUAGCAAGCCUGAGCUCAC